UGUUGGCAUAAGUCUUCAUCACUGCUGAAGUUGAAGCUUGAAAAACUUGUUUCAAGAUGUAUGAAAGUUAACUAAAAUAUUUCAUUCUACCACAGCAUUCAUCUCAAAAUAAUGACAGUCCCAAGGGACAGAAAUCAUGACCUGACACCAUCUGCAGCUGCACAGCCAAUAUCUGUGUUAUUUAUUCAGUCUGGAAAACCUCCCUGAAAGAACAGGAUCAGAGGGCAGUUCAUAGAAGAGCAGAUGCCAAGAGAUGGGAGGUUGAGCCCUGAACCCAACUCAUCACUUAAUUUUCUACUAAAGCUUCUCAGAUUCCCAGAGGCUAAGGACAAAGCCCUAGCUGCUAUGGGAUUUGUUGGGAAUAGAAAACAAAAAAACAGAGGAAAAGAGAGAGAAAAGGAGAGAGAAAACAAUAUAGAUAAACUAUUGCCCAGCAAUCUCUCCUGAAUAAAGACUUCAAUCUGAAUCUUUCGGUUGCGCAAAUGUGAUCACAGGGUGUUUUUUUGGCUCCUAUACUCAGCAGUUAAUAAUUCCCUUACUUUUUACUAAAGAAAACAAAAUAAAAAUCCUUUUGUUCAGUAACUGCUGAGUCAUGGCCUGAACCACUGAUUAAGCACCUGGGGAAAGAACCUGUCAGCCAUGGGAGCACAGGUAAAGACAAUUCACCUGUGCAGCCUGGCUGCACCUCUCUUAAACCUCAUUUGAGGGCUCACUACCACUGAGGAAGGGAUUUUGGUUGGAGAUUUCUCUCUCGUGGAGUUUGGAGUUUUCCUGCAAGGCUAGAUCUUUGGAAAUGGGAAUGCUGAAAACAACCCCUUCCAAGCACUGUUCCCUUGGCUAUCCAGCAAACAAGAGAUUUGAAUUGUUUCAUCAUGCUGUUGAAGGCUGAGAAUAUUCUCUGAAGUUACCACAGGCAACAUUUUCAGUACUUACACAGAAAAUAGAUCUGAGUUUUACUUGAAACUUGGGUCAGCCUGAAAAAUGACAGAUCAAGAUAUGUCCAAACUUGUUAUGGCUAUUGCAAGAAAACUGAAAAGAUAAAUUAAAACUUCCAUCCAGUGCUAAUGAAUGUACUGCCUGAAGCCUCUUACAUUUUUCUUAAGCUAAAAUAAUGUUGGUUUUCCUCAAAGGACCAGAGUAAAAUGCAUUUAGUGCCAGGUACAACUGUGAUCUUCACUGAAUAAAAAUUACACUUAUGUGUUCAUGCUUUGUUUCUUCUCUCACGUGUACCCUUACUGAACUACUAUACCUGCUACAGAGAGAAGACAUGCUGUGGUUAUCUGAGCAAUUUAUGUUCUGGGACAUCACCAGUGAACCAGAAAACUGAAGAUAAAAGAGAAGGAAAACCAGAUGUGGAUGAGUGUGUGUUGUAUAUGCAUAAACAGACAUCAAAAUGAAGGUAUGCCAUCACAGAGUUGUAGGGGUUGGAAGGGACCCCUGGAGGUCCUCAAGUCCAACCCCCCUGCUAAAGCAAGUUCCCUACAAUAGAUUGCAUGGGAAGGUGCACAAACAGGUCUUGAAUAUCUCCAGAGAAAGAGACUCCACAACCUCUCUGAGCAGACUGUUCCAGGUCUCUGUCACUAUUAAUAGUUCUCCAAUGGUAAUGUCCAAUGCUGGGUUUAUGCAAAUUUCCCAGCCUCUCAGAAAUAUUUUACUCCAUCCACAUGGCUGUGCCACACAGAACCAGUUAAGGGAUCCUGUUUCAAACUGCUAAUCUCUCUAACCUCAGCAAUAACCUGGUGAUAUACUAUGGUAUGUUCCACCUUGAUGUAUCCUGCAGAUUGACCAUGCAGAACACAAAAACAAAGUUUAAUUUAUUCUGUUUUUAAAACCAUAGUUUUAUUCUUUGUAUGUGAAAACCGUAUGUAGGAGCCCAAUCCUGUCAUUUGACUUACAGGUCUGUCUAGGUAUGCAGUACUGAUCGUUUUAGCCAUAUGUUGACCCUGAACUCCCUGAUUUAGAUCAUAGAUGAUCAGCCUGGACCAGCUCUGAACAUAAAAAUGAGUAGCUCACGCUUACUCAGACGUAUGCCUGAAUCUGGUAAAUAGAAGACCACUGUAGCAGAUAGGUUUUGCCAAGGAAAAGUCUGCAAUACCCUUGGUGUCUCCAGCUGUGAUAUGAAGCAUGAGUAAAGAGAUGUAUCAUAUAGGAAAAAAUAAAAAAAAAUAAAAAAUGGGAAUUUUAUUCAGUUUCUGGUAACUUUGCUGGAUAUUUUGUAACAUUUCAGAUCACAGAAGUAUGUGACUUUUUGGGGAGAGUCAAAAUUCAUCGCAAAGAUAACCAGAAGGGGGGAAAAUGAUUCCAAAUGCUAUUUAGUCUCAGUCCCAUGCUCUUUCUGACAUAAGCUGAGACAUAAACUAAGUGGACCUGUAAUUAAAAUUACUACAGGAGCAAAGCAAACAAACACUGAUGCCUAUUAGAAACAUCCAAUCUUGAUGGAAAAAAAUUGUACUAUGAUAAACAAAACACUUGUGAGUACCUUAAAAACUAAUGACAAAUGCAAGAUUGUAAGGAUCAACAAUAAAAAUCAAAUGAAAAAACCCACCCAAAACUAACGUUCCCUAAAUUAAUGACAAUAUUUAUAGAAUAGAUCUGAGCACAGACCUAAUAUUUAGCUUUAUUUAAAUUUUGGCUCCCAAGAGAAUUAAAAAACCAGCUGGUAUUGUUGAUCUAAUAGCGCCAUGUCGGCUUGAGCAGACAGUGUAAGAACUGUGUGAGGUUCAAUGUCAACAAGCUAUAUACUAGGAAAGAUUGAGUUUACUAUUUUAUUUUAUGUUUAAAUGCUGUGUUGUGAUGAGAGUGGAAUUAGAUGAAAUUCUAGAGCAAAUAUACAGUUUGAAGCUUAAACCCCAAUUUGUUUAGUCCAUUUAAGCAAAAGGAGAAAUAUAUAUCACCCCACUCAUUACCACCAGCUGAAAUGUAUAUUCCAACAUCAACACAGAGAGUCAGCUGGCUUGGCUUCUGGAGCUCAUGAACUAUGUAUGUUCUCAGUAGUUUACUUUGGUUUUCAGAAGAAGUCUGUAAGA